rnacentral:tRNA from 1 species
GGGAAUGUGGCUUAGUGGUAGAGUGCUUGCCUAGCAAGCAUGAAGCUCUGGGUUCAAUUCCA